rnacentral:rRNA from 1 species
AGCGAACGCUGGCGGCAGGCUUAACACAUGCAAGUCGAGCGGGCACUUCGGUGUCAGCGGCAGACGGGUGAGUAACACGUGGGAACGUACCCUUCGGUUCGGAAUAACGCUGGGAAACUAGCGCUAAUACCGGAUACGCCCUUUUGGGGAAAGGUUUACUGCCGAAGGAUCGGCCCGCGUCUGAUUAGCUAGUUGGUGGGGUAAUGGCCUACCAAGGCGACGAUCAGUAGCUGGUCUGAGAGGAUGAUCAGCCACACUGGGACUGGGACACGGCCCAGACUCCUACGGGAGGCAGCAGUGGGGAAUAUUGGACAAUGGGCGCAAGCCUGAUCCAGCCAUGCCGCGUGAGUGAUGAAGGCCUUAGGGUUGUAAAGCUCUUUUGUCCGGGACGAUAAUGACGGUACCGGAAGAAUAAGCCCCGGCUAACUUCGUG